AUUUGAUCGGACACUGUGAUUAUUACACAACGGUCAACUGGAAUGAUACGAUCAAAAUAUUUGGAAAGCAUUCAAAGUAUGAAUAACUUAGAGAUUUAUCAAACAAUGACAUUUUUAAGACCAUACAAACUUAUUCAAGACUUAUAAAUAAAUGCUCUUUGAAGGGGACUAAGAAGAAAGUUCAAAUUGAAAAUUCAAACUCUACACAGACCCCAUCACGAUGGAUUGUUCGAUCCUGGUUCAACUGCCAAUUCAAAAAUGCAAGAAUAUUCAUUCCGACUACUUUACUAGGAAUCUCUCUAGAAACAUUUAAUCAGGUCCUUUCAACUUCUGCUGCUCUGCACACAGACUCCUUCACCAGGAACAUUUAAUCAGGUCCUUUCAACUUCUGCUGCUCUGCACACAGACUCCUUCACCAGGAACAUUUAAUCAGGUCCUUUCAACUUCUGCUGCUCUGCACACAGACUCCUUCACCAGGAACAUUUAAUCAGAU